rnacentral:rRNA from 1 species
GGCGUGCCUAAUACAUGCAAGUCGAGCGGACAGAUGGGAGCUUGCUCCCUGAUGUUAGCGGCGGACGGGUGAGUAACACGUGGGUAACCUGCCUGUAAGACUGGGAUAACUCCGGGAAACCGGGGCUAAUACCGGAUGGUUGUUUGAACCGCAUGGUUCAGACAUAAAAGGUGGCUUCGGCUACCACUUACAGAUGGACCCGCGGCGCAUUAGCUAGUUGGUGAGGUAACGGCUCACCAAGGCGACGAUGCGUAGCCGACCUGAGAGGGUGAUCGGCCACACUGGGACUGAGACACGGCCCAGACUCCUACGGGAGGCAGCAGUAGGGAAUCUUCCGCAAUGGACGAAAGUCUGACGGAGCAACGCCGCGUGAGUGAUGAAGGUUUUCGGAUCGUAAAGCUCUGUUGUUAGGGAAGAACAAGUGCCGUUCAAAUAGGGCGGCACCUUGACGGUACCUAACCAGAAAGCCACGGCUAACUACGUGCCAGCAGCCGCGGUAAUACGUAGGUGGCAAGCGUUGUCCGGAAUUAUUGGGCGUAAAGGGCUCGCAGGCGGUUUCUUAAGUCUGAUGUGAAAGCCCCCGGCUCAACCGGGGAGGGUCAUUGGAAACUGGGGAACUUGAGUGCAGAAGAGGAGAGUGGAAUUCCACGUGUAGCGGUGAAAUGCGUAGAGAUGUGGAGGAACACCAGUGGCGAANG